CCUAGUAACGGCGAGUGAAGAGGGAAGAGCCCAAGAUUGAAAGCUGGCGUCUUCGGCGUCCGCAUUGUAAUCUCAAGAAGUGUUUUCCGCUUCGGACCAUGCCUAAGUCCCUUGGAAAAGGGCAUCAUAGAGGGUGAUAAUCCCGUACAUGGCAUGGAGCGCCCGAAGCUUUGUGAUACGCUUUCUAAGAGUCGAGUUGUUUGGGAAUGCAGCUCAAAAUGGGUGGUAAAUGCCAUCUAAGGCUAAAUAUUGGGGAGAGACCGAUAGCGAACAAGUACAGUGAUGGAAAGAUGAAAAGAACUUUGAAAAGAGAGUUAAACAGUACGUGAAAUUGCCAAAAGGGAAGGGUAGGAGGUCAGAGAUGCGGCCUGGGAUUCAGCCUUGCUUUUGCUUGGUGUUUUUCCCAGAUUGCAGGCCAACGUCGGUUUUGGGCACUGGAGAAGGGUAGGAGGAACGUGGCACCUCUCGGGGUGUGUUAUAGCCUCCUACUGGAUACAGCGACCGAGACCGAGGACAGCAGCGUACUCGCAAGAGCGGGCCUUCGGGCACCUUUACGCUUAGGGCGUUGGCAUAAUGGCCCUCUACCACCCGUCUUGA
rnacentral:rRNA from 1 species